rnacentral:misc_RNA from 1 species
UCAAAAUUUGGUUCCUUGAAAUAUAUGUAAAUCCAGUUAUCCUCGAGCAAUUAAAGCAAAAAAAAAAUUUACUGACAUGUGACCAUUUUGAUUUUCGAAGGACGAAACUCGAUGAGUCGUAAAAUUUUUAAAAAGCUGUAAGCCUGACCUUUAAUUGGGUAAAAAUUACGUAACGGUCGAAUACUAUAUGUCAUAGUUCUAUUGAAAAAACUCAAUCCAUAGCUAGUUUUUCUCCAACUUUUUCUUCAUCUGUAAAAAUAACUUAAAACGAAAAAACUAAUGCCGAAAAGUGUACUUGAGAGUCAACAGCUUUCAUCGGAGCUAGAUACCCAGAUUUACUGAGAUCAUACCCUUUAAUUUUAAAGUCCUCGGGAGAUCCUUUGCAGGAUUAUGAAACUGGACAGCACUACUCUCUAAUCGGCUUCGGUGAGAACAGUUGUGGCCUUAGAACAAUUUAUCGAAUUUUUUUGUAUAUUAUUUUUAAGUUAUUUAUUUAAUUGAAAUAGAAAAAGCAUCAAAACUUUAGCAUCGAAAAUUUUUGCCCAAUUCGCAGUGAUUCGCAAUUAAGAGCCAGUCUGAAAGAACGAAGUGCAUAACCGAACUCGUCGGCCUAAAAGUGUUCUGGAAAAAUUAAUGCUUUUCUUGUAUUUUUCUGAAAAAAGUGACUUCAAACAUAUGAGCGGUUUGUCGGUCGUGCAGGCAUGUCUAGCACUUUGCUACUACAAAUCGAUCCCUGAGGACCUAAUCGAUACGGUGUUUUGUGUGAAGUUUAUUCAGCGGAUUGAGGACGAGAUUCAUAUGUGUUACUCAAAGGCAACAUAUCCAGAACGAGUACUUAAUUUAAUAAUGCAGUUGAAUCGCACAGUCUGUCUGGAUUACCCCGAGGCGAAUGUUCCAUGGUUUCAACAAAACUAUCUCGAAGCACAACUCAGUAAAAAGACUAAAACUCAAGGAAAAUUUGGUGACGAUGUAAAAAAGCUCCUAGCCGCGGUUUUAAGCGACGAAAGCUUCUUCAGCUGCAAUCAUAUAACACCUUACGGAUAUCAAAUCGAUUUUGUGAUACAUUUUGAUAAAAGCCGUAAACCUAUUCCAGUGCCAGCUGAAACUACAAUAUUAGAUCGCAUUACAAAAAUCAGCAACGAAUAUGACUGAAUCCUUGAAUAUUGAAUUACGUCUCCCGCGUAUAGUUGAUCGACAAAAAUAUAAGGCAAACCACGUAGCUGCAUCACUGAGAGAAUACUUUCAAUGCUCUCUUUAUAUCCCAUACCUAGAUUCCUUAAUAACAUCAUUGGAAAUAAGAUUCAGUGACGAAAACUAGCCAGCGUUUUGUAUAUAGAUAAUACAAACUUUUAAAUUGCUUUCCACGCAAAUAUGUAUUUUGAAUACGUGGUUGGAUAUAUUGUCGAGCUUUUACGGACUAAACUGCAUCCAUUGAAAGAUCGUUCAGCACACCUCGGCGGGCCAAAACUUUGCUAGGACCAACAAUGCAAGAAGACUGCUCGAAUGACUUGUGCAUUAUCAGCGUUCAUCGCAAACUGAGUUGCAAUAUUGCUGCUGCGGCUUGAUUCUUACUGUGAAAACGAUCUAACUGCGAUGCGCGGGGCUGAACACCUCAGAACCAAAC